rnacentral:rRNA from 1 species
GGGUUGUGAGGUUAAGUGACUAAGCGUACACGGUGGAUGCCUAGGCAGUCAGAGGCGAUGAAGGGCGUGCUAAUCUGCGAAAAGUGUCGGUAAGGUGAUAUGAACCGUUAUAACCGGCAAUACCCGAAUGGGGAAACCCAGUGUGUUUCGACACACUAUCGUAUGGUGAAUACAUAGCCAUACGAGGCGAACCGGGGGAACUGAAACAUCUAAGUACCCCGAGGAAAAGAAAUCAACCGAGAUUCCCCCAGUAGCGGCGAGCGAACGGGGAACAGCCCAGAACCUGAAUCAGUUCUUGUGUUAGUGGAAGCGUCUGGAAAGUCGCGCAGCAAAGGGUGAUAGCCCCGUACACUAAAAUGCAUUAACUGUGAGUUCGAUGAGUAGGGCGGGACACGUGACAUCCUGUCUGAAUAUGGGGGGACCAUCCUCCAAGGCUAAAUACUCCUGACUGACCGAUAGUGAACCAGUACCGUGAGGGAAAGGCGAAAAGAACCCCGGCGAGGGGAGUGAAAUAGAACCUGAAACCGUGUACGUACAAGCAGU